rnacentral:rRNA from 1 species
AUUGAACGCUGGCGGCAGGCUUAACACAUGCAAGUCGAGCGGAGAUGAGGUGCUUGCACCUUAUCUUAGCGGCGGACGGGUGAGUAAUGCUUAGGAAUCUGCCUAUUAGUGGGGGACAACAUUCCGAAAGGAAUGCUAAUACCGCAUACGUCCUACGGGAGAAAGCAGGGGAUCUUCGGACCUUGCGCUAAUAGAUGUGCCUAAGUCGGAUUAGCUAGUUGGUGGGGUAAAGGCCUACCAAGGCGACGAUCUGUAGCGGGUCUGAGAGGAUGAUCCGCCACACUGGGACUGAGACACGGCCCAGACUGCUACGGGAGGCAGCAGUGGGGAAUAUUGGACAAUGGGGGGAACCCUGAUCCAGCCAUGCCGCGUGUGUGAAGAAGGCCUUAUGGUUGUAAAGCACUUUAAGCGAGGAGGAGGCUACUGAGACUAAUACUCUUGGAUAGUGGACGUUACUCGCAGAAUAAGCACCGGCUAACUCUGUGCCAGCCGCCGCCGUAAGAC